AGAGUUUGAUCCUGGCUCAGGACGAACGCUGGCGGCGUGCCUAACACAUGCAAGUGGAGCGACGAACCAGGGCUUGCCCUGGGGCCAAGCCGCGAACGGGUGAGUAACACGUGGGUAACCUGCCCCGAUGACCGGGACAACCCGAGGAAACUCGGGCUAAUACCGGAUGUGAUGUCCACACUCAAGUGUGUCCAUCAAAGGAAGCUUCGGCCUCCACAUUGGGAUGGGCCCGCGGCCCAUUAGCUUGUUGGUGGGGUAAAGGCCUACCAAGGCAACGAUGGGUAGCUGGUCUGAGAGGACGAUCAGCCACACUGGGACUGAGACACGGCCCAGACUCCUACGGGAGGCAGCAGUGGGGAAUCUUGCGCAAUGCGCGAAAGCGUGACGCAGCAACGCCGCGUGAGGGAAGACGGCCUUCGGGUUGUAAACCUCUUUCAGGAGGGACGAAGGCCCACCCGCGAAUAGCGAGGUGGGUUGACGGUACCUCCAGAAGAAGCCCCGGCUAACUACGUGCCAGCAGCCGCGGUAAUACGUAGGGGGCAAGCGUUGUCCGGAAUCAUUGGGCGUAAAGCGCGCGUAGGCGGCCCGGUAAGUCCGCUGUAAAAGUCAAAGGCUCAACCUUUGAAUGCCGGUGGAUACUGUCGGGCUAGAGUCCGGAAGAGGCGAGUGGAAUUCCUGGUGUAGCGGUGGAAUGCGCAGAUAUCAGGAGGAACACCAAUAGCGAAGGCAGCUCGCUGGGACGGUACUGACGCUAAGGCGCGAAAGCGUGGGGAGCAAACAGGAUUAGAUACCCUAGUAGUCC
rnacentral:rRNA from 1 species